rnacentral:lncRNA from 1 species
UGCAACCAUACCGAAAGCGGUUGCAGAGGAGUUUGUUGUGGGACUCGUAGCGACUACGACGGAGGUUGGUUUCUUUGCGGAGACAACGUCAUGUAAGUAGAAGUGUAGGUGGGUUAGCUUCUCCGGUUUAUGUCCUGGAUACGGUGCCUUCACUGUUGUUGAGUAAGCUACGGAUUCUGUAAUGGUGGCCGCAAAAAGAAGAGCUGAGAACAGAGUAAGAAGAAGGCUAGCCAUUGGGAAGAUGGUUGUUGCUCUACAAAGUCAACUGAUUUUUCAGGCUGUGUGAAAAAAAUGUGUUUUGCGUUUUUGCGGAAGUGUUUGCAUAAUUUAUACACAAAACAGAAUUAUUGAUUGAAGAACAACUGAAUAAAUAAUAGAUUUUUCUUCGUUAAUCACAGCUAGCGAGGCGACGUGCUAACAAACGAAUCUCCAUUCAUGUACGUGGAUCAUAAUCUUUGGAAUUAUUCAAGGAAUAUGAUAGUUUAGUGAAAUAUAAAAAAAUUGAAAAAAUUGAAAAGAAUUAAGAGAGAGAUAAUGAUUUAUAAAAUGAGAGGGAAAGUCAGAGACACGUUUGUUGCACAUUGAAAAACAAAACGUAGUUCAUCUACCAGAAUUGGUUUUUAUCAUUUUGUGAUUACCAAGCUAUAAGUUAUCUGAUCUCUAGUGUUUAACUAUUCCAUGAUGUCAUCUAAUGUACUCAAGUGAUGAAAUUUUAUAACAAUACAAUAAAAAUUACACCAAAAUCACAAUAUCAAUUCAACAAAAACAAAAACAAAAAAACAUUUUUUCCACCAGUUUUUAUUUCUUUUGGUUUUCAACAAAAAGUGAUGAAAACCAAUAAUUAAUGCCAGAUAUAGACAUUAUACUCGACAACAGCAUCUCCACUGGUAAUAUUGAACACAAAAGUCUUGGCUUGUGCAUAUCCUCUUGCGAACCUGAAUGCUCCCGUACCUCCGAUGAUUGGAAACUCUCUCAGCUUCGACAAUAUCGGAUUCCGGCCAUACAUCGACGCGGUGCUGCCGGAAAAUUCACCCUUGGUGAAAACCAAGUUAAAAGCCAUAAGCAGACCAAAGUUAUUCUGGUCGGCCGAUGCAUACAUCCCUUGGGCUCUCCCGAUCUCCUCUGAGGUUAUUUCAGGCCCAAUCGUCAAUGGAUCGUCAGCGAUUGCAACCAAAGCGAAGCUGGUUGCAGAGGAGUUUGUUGCAGGACCCCUAGCAACUGGGACGGCGGUUGGUUUGUUCCCGGAGAUAAUGUCGUGGAAGUAGAAGUGUAGGUGGGUUAGCUUCUCCGGUUUAUAUCCUGGAUACGGUGCCUUCACUGUUGUUGAGUAAGCUUCGGAUUCUGUAAUGGUGGCCGCAAAAAGAAGAGCUGAGAACAGAGGAAGAAGAAGGCUAGCCAUUGGGAAGAUGGUCGUUGCUCUGCGAUUGCAUUUUUGUGGUUGUGCUUGCAUCAUUUAUACACAAACAGGGUUAUAAUUUGAGUGUAUAAAUAAUUAAUUUGCUUGACGAAUCACAGCGAGGAGUCGUGCAACAAGCAACCUCUACAUCUGUCUUGGAACGAGUCUAUUAAGGUUUGAAUUAAGUGA